rnacentral:rRNA from 1 species
GAAAUCGGCGCUAAUACCUCAUAAUGCAGCGACCCGCAUGGGUAUGUUGUUAAAGGUUUACCGCCUUGGGAUAGGCUUGCGUCUGAUUAGCUAGUUGGUGUGGUAACGGCACACCAAGGCUACGAUCAGUAACUGGUCUGAGAGGAUGAUCAGUCACACUGGAACUGAGACACGGUCCAGACUCCUACGGGAGGCAGCAGUGAGGAAUAUUGGGCAAUGCACGAAAGUGUGACCCAGCAACGCCGCGUGGAGGAUGAAGGUAUUCUAUAUCGUAAACUCCUGUGAGAGCAGACGAAAGACAGAUUAUUAAUUUGGAUGACUGUAUGCUCAGAGGAAGCCCCGGCUAACUACGUG